AUGUUUGAUAUUUUGGACCAGAUUAUUCUUUAUUUGGUGUGAGGAGGGAUGUUCUUAUUAUUGUAUAACAGAUCACUGACCUCUCUGCACUGGUUUCCAGAAGUAUCCCUUCAAAAUUGUGACAACCAAAAAUCUCCAAACAUUGCCAAAUAUCUAUCACCUGGGGCAGGGAAAAAUAGCCCACUGGAAAUGGAGCUGCUAGAAGAAAAAACAAUGUUCAAUGGUAGAAUGCAUAUCUAGCAUACAUAAAGCCCUAGGUUCAAUCUCCAGCAGAAACAGAGGAAGGGAAGGAGGGAAAAAGGGAGGGAGAAAAGAAAAAAUGUCCAUUCAUAACAUUUACUCCUACAAAGCAUCAAAAGAAGAGAACCUGAGAGUUAGCAGCCCUGCAAGAUUAUGGUCAUUCCACAUCCAGCCAUACAUAUCAAUUCUCUUGAUAUUGAUAUUCUUCUAGAGAAAGUAAUCUGACAAAAGGUGGUCAUGGUUCCUCCUUCGCCUUGCUGAGGAAUCUUUCUCAAUAAGUGGAUUUCACUUACCUGCCUCUUUGUAUUCUGUUGACUUUAGAAAGAAGUGAGGUCAUAUUUGAUGUUGACUGGAAACCCAGACCAACCUGUGGAAAUACAAGGUCUUAACAAGGAUAGUGAAGCUGUGAUUGCCCACUUACUUGGUUGGUGGGCUGUAAGGAACAGGGAUGGCACAUAUUGCCAUUGAGAAAGAAAAAUGGUGCACAGCACCCAUGGAAAGGAACUUGAUAAUCACUAACAAAAUUACCCAUCAUUUUGCCUUUUUAAAAUUUUUUUUAGUUGCAGUUGGACACAAUACCUUUAUUUUAUUUUUAUGUGGUGCUGAGGAUCGAACCCAGGGCCUCGCCUGCGCUAGGCAAGCGCUUUACCACUGAGACACAACUCCAG
rnacentral:lncRNA from 1 species